rnacentral:rRNA from 1 species
UACGGAAGGCAGCAGUGGGGAAUAUUGCACAAUGGGCGCAAGCCUGAUGCAGCCAUGCCGCGUGUAUGAAGAAGGCCUUCGGGUUGUAAAGUACUUUCAGUCGUGAGGAAGGUGUUAAGGUUAAUAACCUUAGCAAUUGACGUUAGCGACAGAAGAAGCACCGGCUAACUCCGUGCCAGCAGCCGCGGUAAUACGGAGGGUGCGAGCGUUAAUCGGAAUUACUGGGCGUAAAGGGCACGCAGGCGGUUAAUUAAGUUGGAUGUGAAAUCCCCGGGCUUAACCUGGGAAUGGCAUUCAAGACUGGUUAGCUAGAGUCUUGUAGAGGGGGUAGAAUUCCAUGUGUAGCGGUGAAAUGCGUAGAGAUGUGGAGGAAUACCGGUGGCGAAGGCGGCCCCUGGACAAAGAUUGACGCUCAUGUGCGAAAGCGUGGGGAGCAAACAGGGAUUAGAUACC